GAGUUUGAUCAUGGCUCAGAACGUACGCUGGCGGCACGCCUAACACAUGCAAGUCGAACGAAGUAGCAAUACUUAGUGGCAGACGGGUGAGUAACAUGUGGGUAUCUGCCCUUUGGCCUGGAAUAACACGAGGAAACUUGUGCUAAUACCGGAUAAGUCUUUACGGAGAAAGCUUUAUGCACCAUUGGAUGAGCCCGCACUUGAUUAGUUUGUUGGUGGGGUAAUGGCCUACCAAGACUGUGAUCAAUAGCUGAUUUGAGAGGAUGAUCAGCCACAUUGGGACUGAGACACGGCCCAAACUCCUACGGGAGGCAGCAGUGGGGAAUCUUGCACAAUGGAGGAAACUCUGAUGCAGCGAUGCCGCGUGAGUGAAGAAGGCCCUUGGGUUGUAAAGCUCUUUCGUCGGGGAAGAAAAUGACUGUACCCGAAUAAGAAGGUCCGGCUAACUUCGUGCCAGCAGCCGCGGUAAUACGAAGGGACCUAGCGUAGUUCGGAAUUACUGGGCUUAAAGAGUUCGUAGGUGGUUGAAAAAGUUGGUGGUGAAAUCCCAGAGCUUAACUCUGGAACUGCCAUCAAAACUUUUCAGCUAGAGUAUGAUAGAGGAAAGCAGAAUUUCUAGUGUAGAGGUGAAAUUCGUAGAUAUUAGAAAGAAUACCAAUUGCGAAGGCAGCUUUCUGGAUCAUUACUGACACUGAGGAACGAAAGCAUGGGUAGCGAAGAGGAUUAGAUACCCUCGUAGUCCAUGCCGUAAACGAUGUGUGUUAGACGUUGGAAAUUUAUUUUCAGUGUCGCAGCGAAAGCGAUAAACACGCCGCCUGGGGAGUACGACCGCAAGGUUAAAACUCAAAUGAAUUUGACGGGGACCCGCACAAGUAGUGGAGCAUGUGGUUUAAUUCGAAGAUACGCGCAGAACCUUACCAACACUUGACAUGUUCGUCGCGACUUUAGAGAUAAGUUUUCGUUCGGCCGGACGAAACACAGGUGCUGCAUGGCUGUCGUCAGCUCNUGUCGUGAGAAUGUUUGGGGUUAAGUCCCCGCCAACGA
rnacentral:rRNA from 1 species